rnacentral:lncRNA from 1 species
ACAACAACAACAACCCAGCAUUUAGAAAACACACGUGCUACACAAUCCUAUUUUUCCCAACUUGAAAUCUGUUUCCACGCCAGGACACAGACUGGGAGCUGCUGCUAACGUCUCUCACAAUGUCAGCCCCUCUGGAAUUCCUGACCAGGCUUCUCUUCCCUGUCAUCCAUUCCAGGAAUUCACAAACUUCUUCUGUGAAGACGUAAAUAUUAGGGAGUAUUUUCAGUUUUGUGGGCCAAGAGGCAAAGCUGAGGAAUAGCACAUCAGUGCUUAUGUAACAAGACAGAAAACACAUUUCCGUGUACUUUUUACUGGCAGGGUUCAGAACUUCAUUGAUGAGCACUGAAAUUUGAACCUUGUAUGAUUUUCACAUGUCACAAAAUAUCAUUCUUCUUAUUUUCUUUCCAUCAACUUUUUAAAAGUGUGAAAGCUGAUCACACGCAACAAGGCAGUGGGUGGAACUGGGAGCAGCCUGUAGUUUGGCCAGCUGUGACCUCCCACACAGCACCAAGAAGUCACAUCUCCUGGAGUCCAGUUCCUAGAGCAUCUGUGCUGAAGGACUGUUCAGAGACUCUGCUUGCCCUUCCAGAGGUGCGUGGUCCUGGCAUGAACAUCCGUCGGGAUACACAUCUCCUCAUCCCAGAAGCCAAAAGCGGCUCUGGACACCUCAACCACUAAAUCUUCCUCACGAGGUGCUUGUACCGCUGGGGAAGAGGCUAUAAACUAUGCCGAUCAUACUCCUGUCUAAGUGAGCUAGAGUGAUAAAGAUGGAAGACCUGGGAGCACGCUUUCAUUGAUUAUACCAUCCACUGAUCCCAGACAAGACUGCUGGGCCAUGUCAACCAUGGAGACCUUCUGGAUAGACCUUCUGGAGCUGUCUCCAGCCUUCCCUUCGGCCCUGGGAGCUCCCCUGCAUCCUUCCAAUAAGCCCCCUUCUUUCUUACAUUAGUCACAGUGGCUACUGUUGCUGGCAACCAAACACUGUAACUCAGGCACCACUCACUCUUGGGGGAGUGAGGGCAGACAUCCAGAUUUUCAACUCGCUCAGAGCAUCAGGCACAGCCCAAGGCAGCACAAAGCUGAUCACUGGAGUAAAGGAGGAUGCGUUCACUCCCAGUACCUGUGCAGGUGGGAGGCGUGUGUGUACCUAGCCCAAGGGAAGGCUCUGGCAAGCCAGCCAGCCCAGGACCCUUCCUCCCAUAGGAAAACACUUAGCGGGUUGAGUCUUGAGCCGUAGAACACAGCAAACAGGCAGAGCUGCUUGGCGCUGACGUGCUCCCCGAGCACAGGGCCCUGGACUCUGCAGCAGUGACCUCAGGAGGGAGGGGAUAUAUAUAUAUAUAACUAUGACUGAUUCACGCUGCAGUGCAGCAGAAAGCAGCACAACAUUGUAAAGCAAGUUUCCACUCAUUAAAAAAUAAAUAAAAUUAAUUUUAAAAACCA